CCGAUCUCUUCGUCGGUGCUAUCUGUUGUUCUAGCGAGAUCUACAGACACGCCUAUGAUUGUUUCACAAAAAGGAUUUCUGAAGAUAGAUCUACUCAUUACUAUGGCAGAUCAUGGCAUACAGGUUUGGAAGACGAAGACCCUUCUCUCUGAUAGAUAGAGGCCGUAGCGUGUAUAAUCAAGUCUUCAAACCUCGUCGAAGUAAACGAUGAGUAAUUACUAACAGAAGGUCGUCUUUGUUCGUGUUUAUUCAAAGAAACAGAAGGACAUGGGAGAGAAGGAUUUAUAGAAAAGCCCAGGGAGAGUGAUGGUGUCGGAUAGAGAUGAUCAUCAAUUGUAAAAUGACAUAGCAAAGGGAAGGCACAAUGAUCAUUUAGUGGAAAGUAUCAAGUACCAGUAGUGAAGAUGAAAAAGAAGACAACAACCAAGACAUGACAACAGACUUACUACACGGUUAGUAAUCACUUCUCUAUUGUAACUAAUUACUAAUGUGAAAGAAAAGUAGGACUGUCUAGAAAACAUGUUUAGAUUAGAGAACCCCGGAAUGUCUUGGUUGUUAUUAUGCAGGAUAUAGUACUUGAUAAAUAUUAAAGGGAUCAUGCUUACGGUUAGAAAGGGCAGAAUAAUAGUUUCAGCCCUUUAAUAUAAGGGCUAUGAAUUUAUUUACCCAUUGGUCUGCUAAAACCAUCUCAAAGGUAUCUCCAAAAGGGGUAUU